GGGAUCACUUCGGCAGCCCCGACGCUGAAACGGGAACGAUGCAGAGAAGGUUAGCACGGCCCCUGCACACGCAUGACACGCGAAUUCAUGAAGCGUUCCCCCUUUUU
rnacentral:snRNA from 1 species